rnacentral:rRNA from 1 species
AACGAACGCUGGCGGCGUGGAUAAGACAUGCAAGUCGAACGGGACAACAUCUGUAGCAAUACAGGUGUUGUUUAGUGGCGAACGGGUGCGUAACACGUGGGCAAUCUGCCGAGAAGUGGGGGAUAGCUCGCCGAAAGGCGAAUUAAUACCGCAUAUGAUCAGUGAAGACAUCUUCACGACAUCAAAGCCGGGGUAACCUGGCGCUUCUUGAUGAGCCCGCGGCCUAUCAGCUAGUUGGUGAGGUAACGGCUCACCAAGGCUAUGACGGGUAGCUGGUCUGAGAGGACGACCAGUCACACUGGAACUGAGACACGGACCAGACUCCGUACGGGAGCAGCAGUAAGGAAUAUUGGACAAUGGGCGCAAGCCUGAUCCAGCCAUGCCGCGUGCAGGAUGAAGGUGCUCUGC